UUUUCCUUCCAAAAGCUUGGCCAAACAACUCAAUUUUUGGCCAAAAGUGCUUUUGGCUAAAAAAAUACUUUUGGCCAAAAAGAAGUCUGGCCAAACAGGCUAUGCAUCAAUACGCCUACGGUUAUACCAAUGUCCUACUAAAAGCAAAACUCAUUUUUACUUACUGUCUAAAUCGGAUUUUGAAGGUUGACUUUAAAGGAUGUGUGUCUGUAAAUCUUGUUGUUAAUAAGCUCCCUAA
rnacentral:lncRNA from 1 species